CAGGAGAGUUCUACUUCAUUGAUUAACAAAAGCAGGGAUAUAAUUUUUUCAGCCUUUUUGAAAAGCCUGAAAUGUCAAGCCUUUUAAAGCAGAUUAUUGUGCCUCUGUGCAGUGAAUACAGCCAGAGUAACCUUUUGUCUACAAUUAAAUAUUCUAGCAUAAAUAUAAAAGAAAAUCAGAGAUGGGAAAGAUUGACUCACAAGAGAUUGGAGAGGUAGAUCCUCACACUGAUAGCGAAGCAGCAGCUUGCUUCUAAUUAAAUAUGCGGCUGACUCUCCAUGCUCUCGCUCGCUAGCAGCCGCACAGAGGAGAAGCGGCUGAGGAGAGGAAGGAAGGAGUCUAUCACAUCAUCUCUCUGUCCACAGGCUUUCCUUGGGGCUUAUGAAGAUUUCUUCUCACCAACCCCUCUUCACCCGUCGGAACCGGAAGGAUGUGUGGAUAGAUGGCUUAAGAACAUUUUCCAAAAUGGCUUCCCUGCUGUGUCUCAGUCACCAUCCGUCCGUCCUCCACAACUGAGUCAUUCUCCUGAACUUCUACCAGCAUCUUCCCACUCACAGUGUUCCUUUUCCGUUCCUGGCUGAUGUCAGUGCUCAGCUUGGUACCACAGCAUCCUAAAUGAGGAACAUAUGGAAAGGAUUGGGCUGUUCUGAUCUCCAUGUGCAUAGAUAGACAAUUAAUUAUCCAUGGUAAUUUAUAUAGCAUCACAGGCAUGCAUGCAUACACAUUAUUACACACAGGACAUCAUUUCCAGGAGCAUGAAGGCAUCUGAUCUUUAGGAUGUCUUGAAACAAGGACUUGAUGAGUCCAUCUGUGUAAUUGGAGGUAGUAUUUGUCAUGUUCCAUCAAUGACUCACUACAGUUAAACCAGAAGCAAAUUUGCAUAGUGUCAAAAGACAGA
rnacentral:lncRNA from 1 species